rnacentral:rRNA from 1 species
UGGGGAAUAUUGCACAAUGGGGGAAACCCUGAUGCAGCGACGCCGCGUGAACGAAGAAGGUAUUCGUAUCGUAAAGUUCUGUCCUAUGGGAAGAUAAUGACAGUACCAUAGAAGAAAGCUCCGGCUAAAUACGUGCCAGCAGCCGCGGUAAUACGUAUGGAGCGAGCGUUGUCCGGAAUUAUUGGGCGUAAAGGGUACGCAGGCGGUUUAAUAAGUCGAAUGUUAAAGAUCGGGGCUCAACCCCGCAAAGCAUUGGAAACUGAUAAACUUGAGUAGUAGAGAGGAAAGUGGAAUUCCUAGUGUAGUGGUGAAAUACGUAGAUAUUAGGAGGAAUACCAGUAGCGAAGGCGACUUUCUGGACACAAACUGACGCUGAGGUACGAAAGCGUGGGGAGCAAACAGG